GACGAACCGUGCGAACGUUAUUCGGAAUCACUGGGCUUAAAGCGCGUGUAGGCGGGACGGCACGUCGGUCGCUGAAAUCCCCCGGCUCAACCGGGGAACGGGCGCCGAUACGACCGCCCUGGAGGGACGUAGGGGGACCUGGAACUUCCGGUGGAGCGGUGAAAUGCGUUGAGAUCGGAAGGAACGCCCGUGGCGAAAGCGAGGUCCUGGACGUCUGCUGACGCUGAGACGCGAAAGCCAGGGGAGCGAACGGG
rnacentral:rRNA from 1 species